rnacentral:rRNA from 1 species
GACGUAGGGCGCGAGCGUUGUCCGGAUUUACUGGGCGUAAAGAGCUCGUAGGUGGCUUGUCACGUCGGGUGUGAAAGCUUGGGGCUUAACUCCAGGUCUGCAUUCGAUACGGGCUGGCUAGAGGUAGGUAGGGGAGAACGGAAUUCCUGGUGUAGCGGUGAAAUGCGCAGAUAUCAGGAGGAACACCGGUGGCGAAGGCGGUUCUCUGGGCAUUACCUGACGCUGAGGAGCGAAAGUGUGGGGAGCGAACAGG